UCCAGGCAAGAAUGCGGGAGUGUGAGCGUGAAGCCGGUCCUUGGUGUUGCUUCUGCAGCUGCCAUUGGCCAUUGAUGAUCGUUCUUCUCUUCCUUUGGGAGAGUAGGAGGGAGAGGACACCAUCUGAGUGGA
rnacentral:snoRNA from 1 species